rnacentral:SRP_RNA from 1 species
UUGGAAGAGACCCUUAGAACAGCUGGUCAUUAUGCCGACGGGGUGUCCGCGCUAAGUUCGUCAUCAAUAUGGUGCCCUGGGAGUGGGGGACCACCAGGUUGCCUAAGGAUGGGUAAACUGGCCCAGGUCAGAAAUGGAUCAGGUCAGAACUCCCAGGUAGAUAGGUAGUGGUACUGUGCCUGGGCAACAUAGCGGGACCUUGGCUCUUUAAAAA